rnacentral:rRNA from 1 species
GGUUAAGCGACUAAGCGUACACGGUGGAUGCCCUGGCAGUCAGAGGCGAUGAAGGACGUGCUAAUCUGCGAUAAGCGUCGGUAAGGUGAUAUGAACCGUUAUAACCGGCGAUUUCCGAAUGGGGAAACCCAGUGUGAUUCGUCACACUAUCAUUAACUGAAUCCAUAGGUUAAUGAGGCGAACCGGGGGAACUGAAACAUCUAAGUACCCCGAGGAAAAGAAAUCAACCGAGAUUCCCCCAGUAGCGGCGAGCGAACGGGGAGCAGCCCAGAGCCUGAAUCAGUGUGUGUGUUAGUGGAAGCGUCUGGAAAGGCGCGCGAUACAGGGUGACAGCCCCGUACACAAAAAUGCACAUACUGUGAGCUCGAUGAGUAGGGCGGGACACGUGGUAUCCUGUCUGAAUAUGGGGGGACCAUCCUCCAAGGCUAAAUACUCCUGACUGACCGAUAGUGAACCAGUACCGUGAGGGAAAGGCGAAAAGAACCCCGGCGAGGGGAGUGAAAAAGAACCUGAAACCGUGUACGUACAAGCAGUGGGAGCACGCUUAGGCGUGUGACUGCGUACCUUUUGUAUAAUGGGUCAGCGACUUAUAUUCUGUAGCAAGGUUAACCGAAUAGGGGAGCCGAAGGGAAACCGAGUCUUAACUGGGCGUUAAGUUGCAGGGUAUAGACCCGAAACCCGGUGAUCUAGCCAUGGGCAGGUUGAAGGUUGGGUAACACUAACUGGAGGACCGAACCGACUAAUGUUGAAAAAUUAGCGGAUGACUUGUGGCUGGGGGUGAAAGGCCAAUCAAACCGGGAGAUAGCUGGUUCUCCCCGAAAGCUAUUUAGGUAGCGCCUCGUGAAUUCAUCUCCGGGGGUAGAGCACUGUUUCGGCAAGGGGGUCAUCCCGACUUACCAACCCGAUGCAAACUGCGAAUACCGGAGAAUGUUAUCACGGGAGACACACGGCGGGUGCUAACGUCCGUCGUGAAGAGGGAAACAACCCAGACCGCCAGCUAAGGUCCCAAAGUCAUGGUUAAGUGGGAAACGAUGUGGGAAGGCCCAGACAGCCAGGAUGUUGGCUUAGAAGCAGCCAUCAUUUAAAGAAAGCGUAAUAGCUCACUGGUCGAGUCGGCCUGCGCGGAAGAUGUAACGGGGCUAAACCAUGCACCGAAGCUGCGGCAGCGACGCUGAUGCGUUGUUGGGUAGGGGAGCGUUCUGUAAGCCUGCGAAGGUGUGCUGUGAGGCAUGCUGGAGGUAUCAGAAGUGCGAAUGCUGACAUAAGUAACGAUAAAGCGGGUGAAAAGCCCGCUCGCCGGAAGACCAAGGGUUCCUGUCCAACGUUAAUCGGGGCAGGGUGAGUCGACCCCUAAGGCGAGGCCGAAAGGCGUAGUCGAUGGGAAACAGGUUAAUAUUCCUGUACUUGGUGUUACUGCGAAGGGGGGACGGAGAAGGCUAUGUUGGCCGGGCGACGGUUGUCCCGGUUUAAGCGUGUAGGCUGGUUUUCCAGGCAAAUCCGGAAAAUCAAGGCUGAGGCGUGAUGACGAGGCACUACGGUGCUGAAGCAACAAAUGCCCUGCUUCCAGGAAAAGCCUCUAAGCAUCAGGUAACAUCAAAUCGUACCCCAAACCGACACAGGUGGUCAGGUAGAGAAUACCAAGGCGCUUGAGAGAACUCGGGUGAAGGAACUAGGCAAAAUGGUGCCGUAACUUCGGGAGAAGGCACGCUGAUAUGUAGGUGAAGUCCCUCGCGGAUGGAGCUGAAAUCAGUCGAAGAUACCAGCUGGCUGCAACUGUUUAUUAAAAACACAGCACUGUGCAAACACGAAAGUGGACGUAUACGGUGUGACGCCUGCCCGGUGCCGGAAGGUUAAUUGAUGGGGUCAGCGCAAGCGAAGCUCUUGAUCGAAGCCCCGGUAAACGGCGGCCGUAACUAUAACGGUCCUAAGGUAGCGAAAUUCCUUGUCGGGUAAGUUCCGACCUGCACGAAUGGCGUAAUGAUGGCCAGGCUGUCUCCACCCGAGACUCAGUGAAAUUGAACUCGCUGUGAAGAUGCAGUGUACCCGCGGCAAGACGGAAAGACCCCGUGAACCUUUACUAUAGCUUGACACUGAACAUUGAGCCUUGAUGUGUAGGAUAGGUGGGAGGCUUAGAAGUGUGGACGCCAGUCUGCAUGGAGCCGACCUUGAAAUACCACCCUUUAAUGUUUGAUGUUCUAACGUUGACCCGUGAUCCGGGUUGCGGACAGUGUCUGGUGGGUAGUUUGACUGGGGCGGUCUCCUCCUAAAGAGUAACGGAGGAGCACGAAGGUUGGCUAAUCCUGGUCGGACAUCAGGAGGUUAGUGCAAUGGCAUAAGCCAGCUUGACUGCGAGCGUGACGGCGCGAGCAGGUGCGAAAGCAGGUCAUAGUGAUCCGGUGGUUCUGAAUGGAAGGGCCAUCGCUCAACGGAUAAAAGGUACUCCGGGGAUAACAGGCUGAUACCGCCCAAGAGUUCAUAUCGACGGCGGUGUUUGGCACCUCGAUGUCGGCUCAUCACAUCCUGGGGCUGAAGUAGGUCCCAAGGGUAUGGCUGUUCGCCAUUUAAAGUGGUACGCGAGCUGGGUUUAGAACGUCGUGAGACAGUUCGGUCCCUAUCUGCCGUGGGCGCUGGAGAACUGAGGGGGGCUGCUCCUAGUACGAGAGGACCGGAGUGGACGCAUCACUGGUGUUCGGGUUGUCAUGCCAAUGGCACUGCCCGGUAGCUAAAUGCGGAAGAGAUAAGUGCUGAAAGCAUCUAAGCACGAAACUUGCCCCGAGAUGAGUUCUCCCUGACUCCUUGAGAGUCCUGAAGGAACGUUGAAGACGACGACGUUGAUAGGCCGGAUGUGUAAGCGCAGCGAUGCGUUGAGCUAACCGGUACUAAUGAACCGUGAGGCUUAACCUU